rnacentral:lncRNA from 1 species
GAUCAUAUUCUUAGACUCUGUUGAUCCAGAAUACCUUGACAGGAUCUAUGAUGGACCACAUAUGCCCACCAAGCUCUCUGUUGGGCUUGGAGAUGAACCUCAGAAAAUGGUCCCAAAAGAAAAGAAAGAUUAUACCCCUGAGGACAUCUUGUCAAUUGGUAAAGAUUCUAAGGUGAAACACCUUCUGCACAGUGCCCUUGAUAAUGCAAUGUCUAAUAGGGUGAUUGGGUGCAAAACUGCUAAACAAAUCUGGGAUGCUCUGGAAACCAGAUGUC